rfam:Gossypium hirsutum cultivar TM-1 chromosome 19, whole genome shotgun sequence
UGUUAAAAAUUUCAUCCAUUUAUACUGUUAAAAACUGGCGUAGUUGAUGGAAUAAUUAGACAGUGACAUGCCACGUGUACCUUAUGCUAAUGUAUAAAAACCAAUUUUUAACAACAAAAAUGAUGAAAUUUUUAACA